rnacentral:rRNA from 1 species
AGUGAACGCUGGCGGUAGGCCUAACACAUGCAAGUCGAACGGCAGCACAGUAAGAGCUUGCUCUUACGGGUGGCGAGUGGCGGACGGGUGAGGAAUACAUCGGAAUCUACUUUUUCGUGGGGGAUAACGUAGGGAAACUUACGCUAAUACCGCAUACGACCUACGGGUGAAAGCAGGGGAUCUUCGGACCUUGCGCGAUUGAAUGAGCCGAUGUCGGAUUAGCUAGUUGGCGGGGUAAAGGCCCACCAAGGCGACGAUCCGUAGCUGGUCUGAGAGGAUGAUCAGCCACACUGGAACUGAGACACGGUCCAGACUCCUACGGGAGGCAGCAGUGGGGAAUAUUGGACAAUGGGUGCAAGCCUGAUCCAGCCAUACCGCGUGGGUGAAGAAGGCCUUCGGGUUGUAAAGCCCUUUUGUUGGGAAAGAAAAGCAGCAGGUUAAUACCCCGCUGUCCUGACGGUACCCAAAGAAUAAGCACCGGCUAACUUCGUG